CUGGGCCGGGCGUGGCGGCUGGAGCUGGGUCCCGCCCGCGCCUCCUUCGAGCUGCCCAAAACCCCAAACCAGCCCCAAAAACCCCCAAAACAGCCCGUAAAAAAUCCCAAAAAAUCCCAAAAAAACCCCGGAACAUCCCGGAACAUUCCGGAACAUUCCCAGCUGGAGCUGUCCUGUCUGGGCCGGGCAUGGCGGCUGGAGCUGGGUCCCGCCCGCGCCUCCUUCGAGCUGCCCAAAACCCCAAACCAGCCCCAAAAACCCCCAAAACACCCUGUAAAAAAUCCCAAAAAAUCCCAAAAAAACCCCGGAACAUCCCGGAACAUUCCGGAACAUUCCCAGCUGGAGCUGUGGUCUCUGGGCCGGGCGUGGCGGCUGGAGCUGGGUCCCGCCCGCGCCUCCUUCGAGCUGCCCGGCCUCUCGUGCUCCGGGCUCCGGGUCCGGCUCCUGCGGCUCUCGGGGGCGGCGGCGCAGCGCUGGCUGCGGCACCUGAGCCACGGCCGCGACUACGAGAUGAGACUCUGAGAAUUCCAGAGAAAUCCCGGGAAUUCCCGGAAUUCCGGAGCUCCGGAGACAUCCCACGGCCGCGACUACGAGAUGAGACUGUGAGAAUUCCAGAGAAAUCCCGGGAAAUCCCGGAAUUCCGGAGCUCCAGAGACAUCCCACGGCCGCGACUACGAGAUGAGGCUCUGAGAAUUCCAGAGAAAAUCCCAAAAAUCCCGGAAUUCCGGAGACAUCCCACGGCCGCCACUACGAGAUGAGACUGUGAGAAUUCCAGAGAAAAUCCCAAAAAUCCCGGAAUUCCGGAGCUCCAGAGACAUCCCAUGGCCGCGACUACAAGAUGAGAUUGUGAGAAUUCCAGAGAAUUCCCGGAAUUCCGGAGACAUCCCACGGCCAUGACUGCGAGAUGAGGCUCUGAGAAUUCCCGAGAAAUUCCCAGGAAAUUCCCAAAUAAACAGCCCAGAACGAAGGAGUUGCUGCA
rnacentral:lncRNA from 1 species